UCCCUUUACAAUCAAUCAAUCACCCUAAUCAACAAUUUCCAAAGGUAAGGUAUGAAAAGCACUUAAAGAUUUUGGUUCGGGAAUUUCAUCGAACACCUUCCGGGAAUGAAAUUCCUAGUAUCUAAAUCAACAUGAUCAAGAUUGAUCUAGCCUUAAAAGCAACCAAUAAGUAAGAAUCUUAAGUAAUCUAGCCCUAAACUCCAUAUCCCAACAUCUAAACCAUCCUAAUCUAACCCUAACCAAAGAACUCUAGGAGACUACUCACUCAUGAUCAUGAUCAUACAAAAGAAUUGGUUUGAUCUUUGUAAAGCCAUAAUCAUUAGAGAAUAGAUGAGAAAUUUAAAAGAAAUACUUGAUAUAGAAACUUAAGAACUCAACAUUCAUACAAAAACUUAUAAAGAACCUUAAAGAGAAGUUUUGAUCUCCAAAACAAAAGCUUUCUUUCUCUAAAACUAGGUUAAGAGUAUUUAUAGUAAUGAGAAAAUAAACCGGAUCAACCCGGAACAAACC
rnacentral:sRNA from 1 species